rnacentral:tRNA from 2 species
UGCCGGGUAGACAAAUUGGUAAAGUCGCCUAUCUCUGAAAUAGGAGUUUAUGUAGGUUCAAAGCCUACCCCGGCACCCA